UGGCACAUCCAAAUGAAGGCCUGACCUAUGGGGAUAACCCUGAAUUCUUUAUGUCUCUGAUGAAAAGACCACUGAAACAAAUCCUCGAACCCAUUAAAAACACCAGGAAUUUUCCCACUGAGUCCAGGGAGGAAGCUAGAAUCAUUUGCAGAAAACUUCUAUUGAAAAUCGACACCAUCUAGAAAUGGGCCUCUUAGGAUUCAGCGAGAUGAGACUUCUUAAUUUGGUCAGUCACAACACUUGAAGAAAGUUGCAUGUUUGGACUGGGUGCAUCGAGGCAAUGCUGUGACUUCCAAGGAGAGUUCUGAGGCUCCAUGAAUCUC